CCUACGGGAGGCAGCAGUGAGGAAUAUUGGUCAAUGGCCGUAAGGCUGAACCAGCCAAGUCGCGUGAAGGAAGAAGGAUCUAUGGUUUGUAAACCUCUUUUAUAGGGGAAUAAAGGUAUCCACGUGUGGAUAUUUGCAUGUACCCUAUGAAUAAGCAUCGGCUAACUCCGUGCCAGCAGCCGCGGUAAUACGGAGGAUGCGAGCGUUAUCCGGAUUUAUUGGGUUUAAAGGGUGCGUAGGUUGUUUUUUAAGUCAGCGGUGAAAGUUUGUGGCUCAACCAUAAAAUUGCCGUUGAAACUGGAAGACUUGAGUGUGUGAGAGGUAGGCGGAAUGCGUGGUGUAGCGGUGAAAUGCAUAGAUAUCACGCAGAACUCCGAUUGCGAAGGCAGCUUACUAAGCCAUAACUGACACUGAAGCACGAAAGCGUGGGGAUCGAACAGGAUUAGAUACCCGAGUAGUC
rnacentral:rRNA from 1 species